rnacentral:rRNA from 1 species
AUUGAACGCUGGCGGCAGGCCUAACACAUGCAAGUCGAGCGGUAGAGAGAAGCUUGCUUCUCUUGAGAGCGGCGGACGGGUGAGUAAUGCCUAGGAAUCUGCCUGGUAGUGGGGGAUAACGUUCGGAAACGGACGCUAAUACCGCAUACGUCCUACGGGAGAAAGCAGGGGACCUUCGGGCCUUGCGCUAUCAGAUGAGUCUAGGUCGGAUUAGCUAGUUGGUGGGGUAAUGGCUCACCAAGGCGACGAUCCGUAACUGGUCUGAGAGGAUGAUCAGUCACACUGGAACUGAGACACGGUCCAGACUCCUACGGGAGGCAGCAGUGGGGAAUAUUGGACAAUGGGCGAAAGCCUGAUCCAGCCAUGCCGCGUGUGUGAAGAAGGUCUUCGGAUUGUAAAGCACUUUAAGUUGGGAGGAAGGGCAGUAAAUUAAUACUUUGCUGUUUUGACGUUACCGACAGAAUAAGCACCGGCUAACCCUGUG